GAUGAACGCUGGCGGCGUGCCUAAUACAUGCAAGUCGAGCGAACAGACGAGGAGCUUGCUCCUCUGACGUUAGCGGCGGACGGGUGAGUAACACGUGGAUAACCUACCUAUAAGACUGGGAUAACUUCGGGAAACCGGAGCUAAUACCGGAUAAUAUAUUGAACCGCAUGGUUCAAUAGUGAAAGACGGUUUUGCUGUCACUUAUAGAUGGAUCCGCGCCGCAUUAGCUAGUUGGUAAGGUAACGGCUUACCAAGGCAACGAUGCGUAGCCGACCUGAGAGGGUGAUCGGCCACACUGGAACUGAGACACGGUCCAGACUCCUACGGGAGGCAGCAGUAGGGAAUCUUCCGCAAGGGGCGAAAGCCUGACGGAGCAACGCCGCGUGAGUGAUGAAGGUCUUCGGAUCGUAAAACUAUGUUAUUAGGGAAGAACAAAUGUGUAAGUAACUAUGCACGUCUUGACGGUACCUAAUCAGAAAGCCACGGCUAACUACGU
rnacentral:rRNA from 1 species